rnacentral:rRNA from 1 species
CCUACGGGAGGCUGCAGUGAGGAAUAUUGGUCAAUGGACGAGAGUCUGAACCAGCAAAGUAGCGUGAAGGAUGACUGCCCUGUGGGUUGUAAACUUCUUUUAUAUGGGAAUAAAAUGUUCCACGUGUGGGGUUUUGUAUGUCCCAUAUGAAUAAGGAUCGGCUAACUCCGUGCCAGCAGCCGCGGUAAUACGGAGGAUCCGAGCGUUAUCCGGAUUUAUUGGGGUUAAAGGGAGCGUAGGUGGAUUGUUAAGUCAGUUGUUAAAGUUUGCGGCUCAACCGUAAAAUUGCAGUUGAAACUGGCAGUCUUGAGGACAGUAGAGGUGGGCGGAAUUCGUGGUGUAGCGGUGAAAUGCUUAGAUAUCACGAAGAACUCCGAUUGCGAAGGCAGCUCACUGGACUGCAACUGACACUGAGGCUCGAAAGUGUGGGUAGCAAACAGGAUUAGAUACCCGGGUAGUC